rnacentral:lncRNA from 1 species
AAUUUUCGUUACAUUUGAUCUGUAAGAAUUCAAUUUUGAAUCAUUUUCAUUUCAAAUUGAUUCACACACAUAGCAGACGCCAACACAUCAAGCGUCAUCAAUAGCGUGGUCUAUGGUGCAAUGCUAUCGCUGGAGUAAGUUGUUUACCUUCAAUUCGGGUAGCGUCAUGAUUGGACUACCCUGAUGGCGUCAUGAUCGCUGCUGAUUGCCUUUCAAAUAGGUUUUCAGCAUUCUGCUUACACCUUUGGCAUAGAGUCACAUAUUUCACAAUCCAACAUCAAUUGGUAGCAACAGCAGCCCUUCUCUCCAUCAUCCAGAAGGGUCUGAGAUCAGUGUUGGAGAUGAUGGUUCGGAACAACCCAUGGAAAGCUUAUCACUCAUUGAUGCUGUGAUGCCUGAUGUUGUUGCAAGUCGUCAACAGCAAACACAGAACAAUCAGAAACCACAAGUGGUAAAGACAGAACCACCAAAUUCCAAUGGAGAUGAACCCA